GAAGAGAGAGUUCAAUAGUACGUGAAACCGUUCGGGGGUAAACGGACAGAGCCCGUGAAUCCGGGCGUCAGUGUUCAGAAGCGACGACUCGCGUCGUCGUUUUGAUAUUUCUGGCGCCGCGACCGCGUACGGCAACGUACGCACACGGACGUCGCGACCCGUUUGGUGUCGGUCUGAGGGGAGUCGCGUUUUACGUUCGUUUUGCGCGCGCGUGUGUAUCCCUUCGCGGGGAUGCGCUCGUGCGCGUUUACGAGUACGCGUACACUUAAUACGCCCCGGCUGACUAGCCAGACGGUACGCUCGAUGGGUGACCGGGUGUGGCCGCGCGUCGCACCCGGUGCCGGUCUGCGACGAAUCUUCGGGCCUCUUUCCGACCCGUCUUGAAACACGGACCAAGGAGUCUAACGUGCGCGCGAGUCGCGGGGUGUCGGGUAGCGUACCGCGCUACCCGUUACGAUAACGAAACCCGUGUUGAGCGCGCAGAGUAAAAUUUGCGCGCCGAUGAAGGCGCAAUGAAAGUGAAAAACCGCGUACGCGCGUGUGUUGCGGGGAAGAUGGCGUUUACCGAGUACACGUUCCGCGCGCUUUGGUCGCGCGGCCGGUCGCCCGCAUUCCCGGGGCGUCCCAACGGCACGUCGGCGUGGCCCGUACGUUGUCGUCGUGCGCGGGCGCGUCGUCUUCACGGGCGGCGUGUCAAGCGGCGGCGGUGACCGCGGUGACCGGCGUCGACGAACCGGGGCGCACCUAUAGCGUGCACGUUGGUACCCGAAAGAUGGUGAACUAUGCCCGGCCAGGAUGAAGUCAGGGGAAACCCUGAUGGAGGUCCGCAGCGAUUCUGACGUGCAAAUCGAUCGUCUGAGCUGGG
rnacentral:rRNA from 1 species